rnacentral:rRNA from 1 species
UACGGAGGAUCCGAGCGUUAUCCGGAUUUAUUGGGUUUAAAGGGUGCGCAGGCGGGAGAUUAAGUCGGCGGUGAAAUUUUGCAGCUCAACUGUAAAAGUGCCAUCGAUACUGGUUUUCUUGAGUGUGGAUGAAGUAGGCGGAAUUUGUGGUGUAGCGGUGAAAUGCAUAGAUAUCACGAAGAACUCCGAUCGCGAAGGCAGCCUUCCGGCCCGUCAACGACGCUCAUGCUCGAAGGUGCGGGUAUCAAACAGGAUUAGAUACCCCCGUA